rnacentral:SRP_RNA from 1 species
GCCGGGCGUGGUGGUGCACGCCUGUAGUCCCAGCUACUCAGGAGGCUGAGGCAGGAGAAUCGUUUGAACCCAGGAGGCAGAGGUUGCAGUGAGCUGAGAUUGUGCCACUGCACUCCAGCCUGGGCAACAGAGCAAGAUUCAGUCUCCU